GAUGAACGCUGGCGGCGUGCCUAAUACAUGCAAGUCGAGCGAACAGAUGAGGAGCUUGCUCCUCUGACGUUAGCGGCGGACGGGUGAGUAAAACGUGGAUAACCUACCUAUAAGACUGGGAUAACUUCGGGAAACCGGAGCUAAUACCGGAUAAUAUAUUGAACCGCAUGGUUCAAUAGUGAAAGCCGGUUUUGCUGUCACUUAUAGAUGGAUCCGCGCCGCAUUAGCUAGUUGGUAAGGUAACGGCUUACCAAGGCAACGGUGCGUAGCCGACCUGAGAGGGUGAACGGCCACACUGGAACUGAGACGCGGUCCAGACUCCUACGGGAGGCAGCAGUAGGGAAUCUUCCGCAAUGGGCGAAAGCCUGACGGAGCAGCGCAGCGUGGGUGAUGAAGGGCUUCGGAUCGGAAAACUCUGUUAUUAGGGAAGAACAAAUGUGUAAGUAACUAUGCACGUCUUGACGGUACCUAAUCAGAAAGCCACGGCUAACUACGUG
rnacentral:rRNA from 1 species